rnacentral:rRNA from 1 species
UCUCCAGACUCCUACGGGAGGCAGCAGUGAGGAAUAUUGGUCAAUGGGCGGAAGCCUGAACCAGCCAAGUCGCGUGAGGGAAGAAGGCCCUGCGGGUCGCAGACCUCUUUGGACGGGGAGCAAGGCCGCCGACGUGUCGGCGGAAGGAGAGUACCCGUAGAACAAGCAUCGGCUAACUCCGUGCCAGCAGCCGCGGUAAUACGGAGGAUGCGAGCGUUAUCCGGAUUUAUUGGGUUUAAAGGGUGCGUAGGCGGUAUUUUAAGUUAGUGGUAAAACGUCGGGGCUUCACCUUGAUUGGCCAUUAAAACUGGAGUACUAGAGUACAGACGAGGUAGGCGGAAUAAGUUAAGUAGCGGUGAAAUGCUUAGAUAUAACUUAGAACCCCGAUAGCGAAGGCAGCUUACCAGACUGUUACUGACGCUGAAGCACGAGAGCGUGGGUAGCGAACAGGAUUAGAUACCCCUGUA